GGCCUCGGCCCGAGUUGUAAUUUGUAGAGGAUGCUUUUGGUGCGGUGCCUUCUGAGUUCCCUGGAACGGGACGCCUUAGAGGGUGAGAGCCCCGUAAAGUUGGACACCAAGCCUAUGUAAAGCUCCUUCGACGAGUCGAGUAGUUUGGGAAUGCUGCUCAAAAUGGGAGGUAAAUUUCUUCUAAAGCUAAAUACCGGCCAGAGACCGAUAGCGCACAAGUAGAGUGAUCGAAAGAUGAAAAGCACUUUGAAAAGAGGGUUAAAAAGUACGUGAAAUUGUUGAAAGGGAAGCGCUUAUGACCAGACUUGUGCCCUGCGGAUCAUCCAGCCUUCUGGCUGGUGCACUUCGCUUGGUUCAGGCCAGCAUCGGUUUUCUGAGGGGGAUAAAAGCUUCAGGGACGUGGCUCCUCCGGGAGCGUUAUAACCUGUUGCA
rnacentral:rRNA from 3 species